AUUAAACGCUGGCGGCAUGCCUUACACAUGCAAGUCGAACGGCAGCACGGGGGCAACCCUGGUGGCGAGUGGCGAACGGGUGAGUAAAGCAUCGGAACGUGCCCUGGAGUGGGGGAUAACGUAGCGAAAGUUACGCUAAUACCGCAUAUUCUGUGAGCAGGAAAGCAGGGGAUCGCAAGACCUUGCGCUCUGGGAGCGGCCGAUGUCGGAUUAGCUAGUUGGUGGGGUAAAGGCCCACCAAGGCGACGAUCCGUAGCUGGUCUGAGAGGAUGAUCAGCCACACUGGAACUGAGACACGGUCCAGACUCCUACGGGAGGCAGCAGUGGGGAAUAUUGGACAAUGGGCGCAAGCCUGAUCCAGCAAUGCCGCGUGUGUGAAGAAGGCCUUCGGGUUGUAAAGCGACUUUAUCAGGAACGAAAAGCGUUGGAUUAAUACUCUGACGUGCUGACGGUACCUGAGGAAUAA
rnacentral:rRNA from 1 species